rnacentral:ncRNA from 1 species
CAAAAGUUUGGUCCUGACUUUACCAUCAGUUUUAACCUAAUUUACACAUGCAAGCAUCCGCACCCCAGUGAAAAUGCCCUAUCGUGCCCCCUUCGGGCACAAGGAGCAGGCAUCAGGCACAAUACACUUAGCCCAUAACGCCUUGCUAAAUGGCCACUCCCCCAAGGGUAUUCAGCAGUGAUAAACAUUGAGCAAUAAGCGAAAGCUUGACUCAGUUAAGGUUUAGAGAGCCGGUAAAACUCGUGCCAGCCACCGCGGUUAUACGAGAGGCCCAAAUUGAAGGAUUUCGGCGUAAAGCGUGGUUAAGGUCUAACUAAAGUAAAGCCGAAUAUAUUCAAGGCUGUUAUACGCUCCCGAAUAUAAGAAGCCCAAUUACGAAGGUGGCUUUAUAAAACCUGACUCCACGAAAACUAGGAGACAAACUGGGAUUAGAUACCCCACUAUGCCUAGCCUUAAACAAUGAUAAGUAUAUACACACAUAUCCGCCCGGGAACUACGAGCACUGCUUGAAACCCAAAGGACUUGGCGGUGCUUUAGACCCACCUAGAGGAGCCUGUUCUAGAACCGACAACCCCCGUUCAACCUCACCCUUUCUUGUUAUACUUAUCCGCCUAUAUACCGCCGUCGUCAGCUUACCUCUUGAAAGCCUAACAGUGAGCAAAAUUGGUAUACCCCAAAACGUCAGGUCGAGGUGUAGCGCAUGAAAGGGAAUGAAAUGGGCUACAUUUCCUAAUACAGGAAACACGAAUUACAUAUUGAAAUACAUGUAUGAAGGAGGAUUUAGCAGUAAGCUAAAAAUAGAGCGUUAGACUGAAACUGGCCCUGAAGCGCGCACACACCGCCCGUCACUCUCCCCAAGCUUAUGAUCACGUAAUAAUUAAAACUUAAUAAGAGCAACAGGGGAGGCAAGUCGUAACAUGGUAAGUGUACCGGAAGGUGUACUUGGAAAAAU